rnacentral:rRNA from 1 species
AAUGCUGACAUAAGUAACGAUAAAGCGGGUGAAAAGCCCGCUCGCCGGAAGACCAAGGGUUCCUGUCCAACGUUAAUCGGGGCAGGGUGAGUCGACCCCUAAGGCGAGGCCGAAAGGCGUAGUCGAUGGGAAACAGGUUAAUAUUCCUGUACUUGGUGUUACUGCGAAGGGGGGACGGAGAAGGCUAUGUUGGCCGGGCGACGGUUGUCCCGGUUUAAGCGUGUAGGCUGGUUUUCCAGGCAAAUCCGGAAAAUCAAGGCUGAGGCGUGAUGACGAGGCACUACGGUGCUGAAGCAACAAAUGCCCUGCUUCCAGGAAAAGCCUCUAAGCAUCAGGUAACAUCAAAUCGUACCCCAAACCGACACAGGUGGUCAGGUAGAGAAUACCAAGGCGCUUGAGAGAACUCGGGUGAAGGAACUAGGCAAAAUGGUGCCGUAACUUCGGGAGAAGGCACGCUGAUAUGUAGGUGAAGUCCCUCGCGGAUGGAGCUGAAAUCAGUCGAAGAUACCAGCUGGCUGCAACUGUUUAUUAAAAACACAGCACUGUGCAAACACGAAAGUGGACGUAUACGGUGUGACGCCUGCCCGGUGCCGGAAGGUUAAUUGAUGGGGUUAGCGCAAGCGAAGCUCUUGAUCGAAGCCCCGGUAAACGGCGGCCGUAACU